rnacentral:misc_RNA from 1 species
GAAGGAUGACUCAAGAGGCACAUUUCCACAAGUCACCACCCCAGAAACCUUGACAUAUUCGCCAUUUUUGGCUGUUCUUAGUUCAGAAUCUGGAUAGCGGGUAAUAAAACGAACUAUAGCACUUCCACCCCAGCAAGAGUUCCAUAGGAACAAUGCAGCAACAAUGCCAAAUAGAACCACAACAACAAUGACCAGAAUAGCAUUGUGCACAGCUGCAAGAAUAAAUCCCCCGGCAAUAAAUCCCAUGAGAAAUAACAAAACCAUUGCCCAGAGGAUAGGUUUAGGGAAGCUCCUCUUGAAGGAAUACACAUCAUUUUGAUUGAGAGUGGUGACAGCCUGGCUGUUAACAAGAGAAGGGGCAUGAAUCUUUGCUGAAUCCAAGGGACCUGAGAUUUUUCUUGGGGCCCCAGAGGAAUUGAGAGGGCCAGAAGAGAUAGGACCAGAAGUAAUAAGACCUGUUGCAGGGAGAAGUGGUGGUUGGGGACCUGAGUUUUGGCGGCCAGUUGGUGUGACACCUCCAGAUUGAGGACCGGAUGAUUUUUUUAUAGGCUCACCAUGCUUGGUAAGGGGGCCAGAAUUAGAUUUCUUAGUCGAAAGUGAAGCAGGCAUCCCUGAGGAUGAUAUGGGACCUGAGGUUGAAUAGCUAGUCCUAGCAGAAGGAGUAUUAGAAUUGAUAGGUCCUGAAUGUGAUGUUCUGGAAGGUGCAGUUGUUAUGGGGGCAGAUUUCCUGGAUUUGGAGCCAUCGACAGGGAUAUCAAACAUUUUUCCAAGCUCUCCCGACUUCUUAAUGUCACCACCAGUA